rnacentral:miRNA from 1 species
AAAGCAUGCGACAUGAGGAGAG